rnacentral:rRNA from 1 species
CUUUCUUUGCUGGCGACCGGCGCGCGGGUGAGUAACACGUAUCCAACCUGCCCUUUACUCGGGGAUAGCCUUUCGAAAGAAAGAUUAAUACCCGAUAGCAUAAUGAUUCCGCAUGGUUUCAUUAUUAAAGGAUUCCGGUAAAGGAUGGGGAUGCGUUCCAUUAGGUUGUUGGUGAGGUAACGGCCCACCAAGCCUUCGAUGGAUAGGGGUUCUGAGAGGAAGGUCCCCCACAUUGGAACUGAGACACGGUCCAA